UUUUUAAAUAAAAGCUCUAUCUUUAAUAACAAAAAAGUUAUGCAAAAUUUUCGAUCUAAAAAAGUACAUGUUAAUUGUAAAAAACCGAAAUUUCGAUUUUUCUCAAAAACUAUAAUUUUUUCAAUUUUGAUAAUUAUGUGCAAGGUGCCCCUUCGCUAGGAGUACUUGACUGUUUUUAAAUGAAAGCUCUAUCUUUAAUAACAAAAAAGUAAUGCAAAAUUUUCGAUCUAAAAAAGUACAUGUUAAUUGUAAAAAACCGAAAUUUCGAUUUUUCUCAAAAACUAUAAUUUUUUCAAUUUUGAUAAUUAUGUGCAAGGUGCCCCUUUACGAGGAGUACUUGGCAGUUUUUAAAUGAGAGCUCUAUCUUUAAUAACAAAAAAGUUAUGCAAAAUUUUCGAUCUAAAAAUGUACAUGUUAAUCGUAAAAAACCUAAAUUUCGAUUUUUCCCAAAAACUAUAAUUUUUUCAAUUUUGAUAAUUAUGUGCAAGGUGCCCCUUUGCGAGGAAUACUUGGCAGUUUUUAAAUGAAAGCUCUAUCUUUAAUAACAAAAAAGUUAUGCAAAAUUUUCGAUCUAAAAAAGUACAUGUUAAUUGUAAAAAACCGAAAUUUCGAUUUUUUUCAAAAACUAUAAUUUUUUAAAUUUUAAUAAUUAUGUGCAAGAUGCCUCUUCGCUAGGAGUACUUAACAGUUUUUAAAUGAAGGCUCUAUCUUUAAUAGCAAAAAAGUUAUGCAAAAUUUUCGAUCUAAAAAAGUACAUGUUAAUUGUAAAAAACCGAAAUUUCGAUUUUUUUCAAAAACUACAAUUUUUUUAGUUUUUGA